rnacentral:tRNA from 1 species
GUUUUAAUAAUUUAAAUAAAAAAUACUGGUCUUGUAAACCAGAAAUGGUUAAUUCCUUAAAACA